AGCAGCUGCGGUAAUUCCAGCUCCAAUAGCGUAUAUUAAAGUUGUUGCAGUUAAAAAGCUCGUAGUUGAAUUUCGGGAUCAGUAUGUUGGUCGUGCUUCGGUACGUACUGUCAUUACUGGUUUCUACCUUCUGAAGAACCUUGAUGUCAUUAAUUUGGUGUCUUGGGGAAUCAGGACUGUUACUUUGAAAAAAUUAGAGUGUUUAAAGCAAGCAUACGCUUGAAUACAUUAGCAUGGAAUAAUGAAAUAGGACGUUUGAUUCUAUUUUGUUGGUUUCUAGGAUCGACGUAAUGAUUAAUAGGGAUAGUUGGGGGCAUUAGUAUUCAAUUGUCAGAGGUGAAAUUCUUGGAUUUAUUGAAGACUAACUACUGCGAAAGCAUUUGCCAAGGAUGUUUUCAUUAAUCAAGAACGAAAGUUAGGGGAUCGAAGACGAUCAGAUACCGUCGUAGUCUUAACCAUAAACUAUGCCGACUAGGGAUCGGAUGAUGUUAUUUUAAUGACUCAUUCGGCG
rnacentral:rRNA from 1 species